rnacentral:rRNA from 1 species
GGUUAAACUCUUUAUAGGGUAAUAAGUAGCUUUACGUGUAGAGUUUGUAUGUACCUUAUGAAUAAGCAUCGGCUAACUCCGUGCCAGCAGCCGCGGUAAUACGGAGGAUGCGAGCGUUAUCCGGAUUUAUGGGUUUAAAGGGAGCGUAGACGGGAUGUUAAGUCAGCUGUGAAAGUUUGGGGCUCAACCUUAAAAUUGCAGUUGAAACUGGCGUUCUUGAGUGCGGUAGAGGCAGGCGGAAUUCGUGGUGUAGCGGUGAAAUGCUUAGAUAUCACGAAGAACUCCAAUUGCGAAGGCAGCUUGCUGGAGCGUAACUGACGUUGAUGCUCGAAAGUGUGGGUAUCAAACAGGAUUAGAUACCCUGGUAGUCCACACGGUAAACGAUGGAUACUCGCUGUUGGCGAUAUACGGUCAGCGGCCAAGCGAAAGCAUUAAGUAUCCCACCUGGGGAGUACGCCGGCAACGGUGAAACUCAAAGGAAUUGACGGGGGCCCGCACAAGCGGAGGAACAUGUGGUUUAAUUCGAUGAUACGCGAGGAACCUUACCCGGGCUUAAAUU